rnacentral:lncRNA from 1 species
CGGUAUUGGUUCCGUCAGACGCGGUGCAGGUGACAGUGGUGCUGCCAAAUGGGAAAGAGUCACCAGAGGCAUAGUCACACGAGGGCGUCACGGCACCAACCACGAUGUCAGUGGCGGUGACGGCCGACCAGGUGACAGCAGCAGUGCCGCUGGCCGAAGCGUACACGGACGCCGGCGAGGGGACCGUAAUGGCCGGCGCAAUGGUGUCAGUGACAGUAAUGGUGAUGGUCUUGCUCGCGCUAUUGCCGCUUUUGUCAGUGGCCGUGCAGGUGGCUACGGUGGUGCCGACGGGGUAGACGCCAGAGGUGGAGGGGGCCGCGGGGGAGUAGGUGGUGACAACGUUGAGGUUCGUGUCCACGUUGUCAGUGGCGGUGCAUGUGAAGGAGAUGCCGUCGGCGCCGCCAAGCGUGUUGCCCUCCUUGGUGAUGGCGUUGGUGCUGGUGCUGACGUCUGGAGCUGUGUUAUCUGUGGGCGGACAUGCAGGGUGGGGGGGAUUACACGAAUGCGUUUGCAUGUGCGUAAUUGAUGAUUACUAUGUAGCAGAAGCAAGCAAGUGUUCUUCCAAGGUCGGAGCCGCAACAUGCGAAGCCAGUAGGAUCCAUGCCCCGCCGUGCCCCGCCCUGCCUCACUCCGUUCCCCGCGCCCCGCCCCACUGCCACCCAACCCGACCCGACCCGAUCCAACCCGACUCAACCCCUCCCAACCCAACCCAAGCAACCCGCCAAGACCCGACCCGACCUACAGCAACCCUUGCCCACCCUACCCUCCCCUCCCCGACCCACGUCUCACCGAGAACGACCACAGCGAAUGUCGCGGUGCCGGUAUUGGUUCCGUCAGACGCGGUGCAGGUGACAGUGGUGCUGCCAAAUGGGAAAGAGUCACCAGAGGCAUAGUCACACGAGGGCGUCACGGCACCAACCACGAUGUCAGUGGCGGUGACGGCCGACCAGGUGACAGCAGCAGUGCCGCUGGCCGAAGCGUACACGGACGCCGGCGAGGGGACCGUAAUGGCCGGCGCAAUGGUGUCAGUGACAGUAAUGGUGAUGGUCUUGCUCGCGCUAUUGCCGCUUUUGUCAGUGGCCGUGCAGGUGGCUACGGUGGUGCCGACGGGGUAGACGCCAGAGGUGGAGGGGGCCGCGGGGGAGUAGGUGGUGACAACGUUGAGGUUCGUGUCCACGUUGUCAGUGGCGGUGCAUGUGAAGGAGAUGCCAUCGGCGCCGCCAAGCGUGUUGCCCUCCUUGGUGAUGGCGUUGGUGCUGGUGCUGACGUCUGGAGCUGUGUUAUCUGUGGGCGGACAUGCAGGGUGCGGGGGGCGUGAUGACAAGAAUGCGUGUGCAUGGUCUGUGUUUGUAUUAACGGAAGCUAGCGGAACCUUCGUUCCAUGCAAAGCUGCAGCACACCAAGUCUGCCUGCUGGGUCUAUCUCUCUAAUCUAGCCCCGCCCCGUCGCCAUCUAUGCGCCGCGCCUAGCCAUGCCUGUGCCAUCCACUUUACUACUGCUGCGUGCAUUGACCCAUAUGAACCAUCCAUAGAAGACCUAACCUACAAUCCCUGAGGCUCUGCCUAAUUUACGGCUUACCCAGGACGGUCACAGUGAACGUCUUUGUGGCGACGUUUGGCGUGGGUUGCGCGCCAUCAGACGCGGUGCAGGUGACCGUGGUGCUGCCAGAUGGGAAAGAGUCACCAGAGGCAUGGUUGCAUGCGGGCGUCACGGCACCAACCACGAUGUCAGUGGCGGUGACGGCCGACCAGGUGACGGCAGCAGUGCCGCUGGCCGAAGCGUACACGGACGCCGGCGAGGGGACCGUGAUGGCCGGCGCAAUGGUGUCAGUGACAACAAUGGUGAUGGUCUUGCUCGCACUGUUGCCGCUUUUGUCAGUGGCCGUGCAG